GACGAACGCUGGCGGCGUGCUUAACACAUGCAAGUCGAGCGAUGAAGUUCCUUCGGGGACGGAUUAGCGGCGGACGGGUGAGUAACACGUGGGUAACCUGCCUCAUAGAGGGGAAUAGCCUUCCGAAAGGAAGAUUAAUACCGCAUAAGAUUGUAGUUUCGCAUGAAACAGCAAUUAAAGGAGCGAUCCGCUAUGAGAUGGACCCGCGUCGCAUUAGCUAGUUGGUGAGGUAACGGCUCACCAAGGCGACGAUGCGUAGCCGACCUGAGAGGGUGAUCGGCCACAUUGGGACUGAGACACGGCCCAGACUCCUACGGGAGGCAGCAGUGGGGAAUAUUGCACAAUGGGGGAAACCCUGAUGCAGCAACGCCGCGUGAGUGAUGACGGUCUUCGGAUUGUAAAACUCUGUCUUCAGGGACGAUAAUGACGGUACUUGAGGAGGAAGCCACGGCUAACUACGUGCCAGCAGCCGCAGUAAGAC
rnacentral:rRNA from 1 species